GAUGAACGCUGGCGGCGUGCUUAACACAUGCAAGUCGAACGAAGCACUUAUCUUUGAUUCUUCGGAUGAAGAGGUUUGUGACUGAGUGGCGGACGGGUGAGUAACGCGUGGGUAACCUGCCUCAUACGGGGGGAUAACAGUUAGAAAUGACUGCUAAUACCGCAUAAGACCACGGAGCUGCAUGGCUCAGUGGGAAAAACUCCGGUGGUAUGAGAUGGACCCGCGUCUGAUUAGGUAGUUGGUGGGGUAACGGCCUACCAAGCCAACGAUCAGUAGCCGACCUGAGAGGGUGACCGGCCACAUUGGGACUGAGACACGGCCCAAACUCCUACGGGAGGCAGCAGUGGGGAAUAUUGCACAAUGGGGGAAACCCUGAUGCAGCGACGCCGCGUGAGCGAAGAAGUAUUUCGGUAUGUAAAGCUCUAUCAGCAGGGAAGAAAAUGACGGUACCUGACUAAGAAGCACCGGCUAAAUACGUGCCAGCAGCCGCGGUAAUACGUAUGGUGCAAGCGUUAUCCGGAUUUACUGGGUGUAAAGGGAGCGUAGACGGCUGUGUAAGUCUGAAGUGAAAGCCCGGGGCUCAACCCCGGGACUGCUUUGGAAACUAUGCAGCUAGAGUGUCGGAGAGGUAAGUGGAAUUCCCAGUGUAGCGGUGAAAUGCGUAGAUAUUGGGAGGAACACCAGUGGCGAAGGCGGCUUACUGGACGAUGACUGACGUUGAGGCUCGAAAGCGUGGGGAGCAAACAGGAUUAGAUACCCUGGUAGUCCACGCCGUAAACGAUGACUACUAGGUGUCGGGGAGCAAAGCUCUUCGGUGCCGCAGCAAACGCAAUAAGUAGUCCACCUGGGGAGUACGUUCGCAAGAAUGAAACUCAAAGGAAUUGACGGGGGACCCGCACAAGCGGUGGAGCAUGUGGUUUAAUUCGAAGCAACGCGAAGAACCUUACCUGCUCUUGACAUCCCGGUGACCGGCAUGUAAUGAUGCCUUUUCUUCGGAACACCGGUGACAGGUGGUGCAUGGUUGUCGUCAGCUCGUGUCGUGAGAUGUUGGGUUAAGUCCCGCAACGAGCGCAACCCUUAUCUUCAGUAGCCAGCAAUUCGGAUGGGCACCCUGGAGAGACUGCCAGGGAUAACCUGGAGGAAGGUGGGGAUGACGUCAAAUCAUCAUGCCCCUUAUGAGCAGGGCUACACACGUGCUACAAUGGCGUAAACAAAGGGAAGCGAGCCUGCGAGGGUAAGCAAAUCUCAAAAAUAACGUCUCAGUUCGGAUUGUAGUCUGCAACUCGACUACAUGAAGCUGGAAUCGCUAGUAAUCGCGAAUCAGCAUGUCGCGGUGAAUACGUUCCCGGGUCUUGCAC
rnacentral:rRNA from 1 species